rnacentral:rRNA from 1 species
AGCCAGACUCCUACGGGAGGCAGCAGUGGGGAAUAUUGGGCAAUGGGGGAAACCCUGACCCAGCGACGCCGCGCGAGGGAAGAAGGUUUUCGGAUUGUAAACCUCUGUCCUUGGUGACGAUAAUGACGGUACCUCAUGAAUAAGCCACGGCUAACUACGUGCCAGCAGCCGCGGUAAUACGUAGGUGGCAAGCGUUAUCCGGAUUUACUGGGUGUAAAGGGCGUGUAGGCGGGACUGCAAGUCAGAUGUGAAAAUUAUGGGCUCAACCCAUAACCUGCAUUUGAAACUGUAGUUCUUGAGUGAUGGAGAGGCAGGCGGAAUUCCGUGUGUAGCGGUGAAAUGCGUAGAUAUACGGAGGAACACCAGUGGCGAAGGCGGCCUGCUGGACAUUAACUGACGCUGAGGCGCGAAAGCGUGGGGAGCAAACAGGAUUAGAUACCCCCGUAAGC